rnacentral:rRNA from 1 species
UAUCUCUGUAGAGUCUGCAUAUCAAUAAGCGGAGGAAAAGAAACUAACUAGGAUUCCCUCAGUAACGGCGAGUGAAGCGGGAAGAGCUCAAAUUUGAAAUCUUCAAGGUUCUACCUUGACGAAUUGUAGUUUAAAGAAGUGUUUUCUGUUGGUGUUUUGGUAAAAGUUCUUUGGAAUAGGACAUCAUAGAGGGUGAGAAUCCCGUAUUUGACCAUUACUUCCAGCGUUGUGAUACACUUUCAAAGAGUCGGAUUGUUUGGGAAUGCAGUCCAAAAUGGAUGGUAAAUUUCAUCUAAAGCUAAAUAUUGGCGAGAGACCGAUAGCGAACAAGUACCGUGAGGGAAAGAUGAAAAGAACUUUGAAAAGAGAGUUAAACAGUACGUGAAAUUGUCAAAAGGGAAGCGUUUGACACCAGUGUUGUUUUCUCGAAAACCAAUUAAAAAGAGUUGGAUUUUGUAUAGUUAAGACCUUAUCAGCUUACUGUACUUUUUUCUUGCUCUUUUUAAUGCACUUUUCGUUUAACAAGUCAACAUCAAUUUCUUUUGUUGUAAAAGGGUCAUUGGAAGGUGGCUUUCACUUCGGUGAAAGUGUUUAUAGCCUUUGGCUUCUACAAUCGGAGAGAUUGAGGUCUGCAGCGUAGAUCCUUCGGGGUUAGAUACGUAGAUGCUAAGUUAUAGUUUUUUAUAGACAACUUGUUGACUAUGAUUAAUCAUGUAGCUUACUCGUUUACGCUAUUUUACCUACGCUUAGGAUGUUGAUCUCUCACAGUCGAGC